rnacentral:rRNA from 2 species
UGACGUUAGCGGCGGACGGGUGAGUAACACGUGGAUAACCUACCUAUAAGACUGGGAUAACUUCGGGAAACCGGAGCUAAUACCGGAUAAGAUUUUGAACCGCAUGGUUCAAUAGUGAAAGACGGCCUUGCUGUCACUUAUAGAUGGAUCCGCGCCGUAUUAGCUAGUUGGUAAGGUAACGGCUUACCAAGGCAACGAUACGUAGCCGACCUGAGAGGGUGAUCGGCCACACUGGAACUGAGACACGGUCCAGACUCCUACGGGAGGCAGCAGUAGGGAAUCUUCCGCAAUGGGCGAAAGCCUGACGGAGCAACGCCGCGUGAGUGAUGAAGGUCUUCGGAUCGUAAAACUCUGUUAUCAGGGAAGAACAAACGUGUAAGUAACUGUGCACGUCUUGACGGUACCUGAUCAGAAAGCCACGGCUAACUACGUGCCAGCAGCCGCGGUAAUACGUAGGUGGCAAGCGUUAUCCGGAAUUAUUGGGCGUAAAGCGCGCGUAGGCGGUUUUUUAAGUCUGAUGUGAAAGCCCACGGCUCAACCGUGGAGGGUCAUUGGAAACUGGAAAACUUGAGUGCAGAAGAGGAAAGUGGAAUUCCAUGUGUAGCGGUGAAAUGCGCAGAGAUAUGGAGGAACACCAGUGGCGAAGGCGACUUUCUGGUCUGUAACUGACGCUGAUGUGCGAAAGCGUGGGGAUCAAACAGGAUUAGAUACCCUGGUAGUCCACGCCGUAAACGAUGAGUGCUAAGUGUUAGGGGGUUUCCGCCCCUUAGUGCUGCAGCUAACGCAUUAAGCACUCCGCCUGGG